GAACCUGCUGGUGGACGUGGACAGCGCCACCACGUGCCUGGCCUUCGCGCCCGCCCGGAGCGCCGCCAUCAUCGGGAACACGCAGCAGCAGACGUUCAGCGUCGUCUACGACGUCAAGAACAGCAAGAUCGGGUUCGCCGCCGGCGGCUGCAGCUGAGAAGCGACACCUACAUACACGCGCAUGCACAGACCGACUCGGUGGUUAGCAAAUCUGUACAAGAAUUCAUUCACAUAUCACAGUCUUCAACGGGACAGGCCUUUGGAUUUUGAUGAGGCAAACCAAUAUCUAGAGAAAUGUGAAAGAGAUAAAUCGCGUGUUCUUGUUCAUUGCAUGACUGGAAAAAACAGGUCCGCUGCUAUUGUUGCAGCCUUCUUGAUGAAGUCUAGAGGGUGGAGACUUGCACAGUCUUUUCAAUGGGUGAAAGACCGAAGACCACAGGUUCAACUGACAGAUGCUUCUCAGAAGGAGCUUUUGGAGUAUGAGCUGAAGCUUUUCGGACCCAGUACUCAAACCUUGGUUCCCACUGAAUCAUUUGCUUCUCUUGGAUUUGGUUAUACAAAACCAGCAGGUGACAUGCAAACGCCUGUGUUCAACCAAACGACCAUGCCAUCCAUAUUCGAGCGAUUCAACCCAAAUGAUCGCCCCGCCAAUUUCACUUUUGGAGUUGAGAGGAAAGCAGAAGCUAACCCUCAAGAUAACAAUAGUGAUGGCAGGGUAAACCCAACUUCAACGGAGAACCUGAUGGACAGCUCUUAAGAUGAUUUCACGAUGUCGCUGUUCAAUCUCCUUGUUCCAGAAGUAAACCCGCUGUAAUCUGCAUGUCGCGGAAGUAAACCUACUGCUCGGUGCCUCGGCGCACCGAAUACUUAUCCGGUGUCUAGGUUUCAGGGAGGUUUUGCCCUUGUCGGAUGAGAAAUGGUUCUCUGGAAACCGAUCUUUGCUUUAGAAUGACUGUAUGAAAUAGAUGUUUGUGGCUCAUCUAUCUGUUCCUUUCUCGUAUAGUUUCUGAUUGCUAUUAUAUGGAUAAGGCAUAGUGCUUACUGCUUA